rnacentral:rRNA from 1 species
ACCCGUUCCCAUUCCGAACACGGAAGUCAAGCCCUCUUACGCCAAUGAUACUGCCCCUAAAAGGAGCGGGAAAGUAGGUCGUCGCCAGGC